GACAGAGGGUGCGAACGUUGUUCGGAAUUACUGGGCGUAAAGCGCAUGUAGGCGGCAACGCAAGUCGGGCGUGAAAUCCCACGGCUCAACCGUGGAAGUGCACUCGAAACUGCGUAGCUAGAGUCCUGGAGAGGAAGGUGGAAUGCUUGGUGUAGAGGUGAAAUUCGUAGAUAUCAAGCGGAACACCGGUGGCGAAGGCGGCCUUCUGGACAGUGACUGACGCUGAGAUGCGAAAGCGUGGGGAGCAAACAGG
rnacentral:rRNA from 1 species